rnacentral:rRNA from 1 species
AUUGAACGCUGGCGGCAUGCUUUACACAUGCAAGUCGAACGGUAACAGGCCUUCGGGUGCUGACGAGUGGCGAACGGGUGAGUAAUGCAUCGGAACGUGCCCAGAGGUGGGGGAUAACGCAGCGAAAGCUGUGCUAAUACCGCAUGUGAUCUGAGGAUGAAAGCGGGGGACCAGGCAGCAAUGUUUGGCCUCGCGCCUUUGGAGCGGCCGAUGUCAGAUUAGGUAGUUGGUGGGGUAAAGGCCUACCAAGCCGACGAUCUGUAGCUGGUCUGAGAGGACGACCAGCCACACUGGGACUGAGACACGGCCCAGACUCCUACGGGAGGCAGCAGUGGGGAAUUUUGGACAAUGGGCGCAAGCCUGAUCCAGCAAUGCCGCGUGCGGGAAGAAGGCCUUCGGGUUGUAAACCGCUUUUGUACGGAACGAAAAGGCUCUGGCUAAUACCUGGGGCUGAGGACGGUACCGUAAGAAUAAGCACCGGCGAACUACGU